ensembl:snRNA U1 U1 spliceosomal RNA
AUUCUUUCCUGGCGGGAGCUAUACCGAUCACAAAGGGGGUUUUCCCAGGGUGACGCUUACCCACUGCACUCAGAUGUGCAGACCUCUGUGAUUUCUCCAAAUGUGGAAAACUCAACUUCAUAACUUGUGGUAAUGUGUACUAUGUUUAUGUCUUCUCC